GAUGAACGCUGGCGGCGUGCUUAACACAUGCAAGUCGAACGAUGAAGCCCAGCUUGCUGGGUGGAUUAGUGGCGAACGGGUGAGUAACACGUGAGUAACCUGCCCUUAACUCUGGGAUAAGCCUGGGAAACUGGGUCUAAUACCGGAUAGGAGCGUCCACCGCAUGGUGGGUGUUGGAAAGAUUUAUCGGUUUUGGAUGGACUCGCGGCCUAUCAGCUUGUUGGUGAGGUAAUGGCUCACCAAGGCGACGUCGGGUAGCCGGCCUGAGAGGGUGACCGGCCACACUGGGACUGAGACACGGCCCAGACUCCUACGGGAGGCAGCAGUGGGGAAUAUUGCACAAUGGGCGCAAGCCUGAUGCAGCGACGCCGCGUGAGGGAUGACGGCCUUCGGGUUGUAAACCUCUUUCAGUAGGGAAGAAGCGAAAGUGACGGUACCUGCAGAAGAAGCACCGGCUAACUACGUG
rnacentral:rRNA from 1 species